AUGAUGGAGGAAGAAGAGAGAAGGAAGAAGGAAGAGGAGGACGAAAAGAAAAGGAAGGAGAUGGACAAGAGGAGAAAGAAGGAAGAGGAGGAUGAAAGAAAAAGGAAGAAGAUGGAACAGAGGAGGAAGAAGAGGGAGGAUGAAAGGAAAAUGAAAGAGAUGGAAGAGAGAAGGGCAAGAGAAGAGGAAGAAAGAAAAAUACAGAAAGAGAGAAAAGUAAUGGAGUUAAAGAAAGCAGAAGAAGAAAGGAGAAAAACUGUAGAAUUGAGAUUUAAAGAAGAAGAGGACAGGAGGAAGGAGGAAGAAGAACAGAUGAAACUUGAGGAGCAAGAAGGAAAGAAGGUGGAAGAAAGAAACAUGAAAGAAAUGCAGAUUAAGGGGGAGAAGAAACAUGUGAUAGAGCUGGCUGGGAAGACAACAGGAGAUGAAACAAAGGAAGGUGAGACGAGAACGGAGGACAAAGGACCAGAGGAGAACGUCGGGGUAAAGAUGAAACAGGAGAAAAGAAAAAAUGAAGAAGAAAGAGAGGAUGAGGAGGUCGGGAGGAAGAUGCUGGAUGACCAGAAAAAGAGUGAGGAAAAGGAAAACGGAACAAAUGAAGACAAAGUACUAAGUGAAAGAGAAGGAGAGAGGACAACAUGUGAGGACAAGAGACUCAUGAGGGAAAAUAAAAAUACAAACAGAGAAGAGGAGAUAAAAACAAAAGAGGAAGAACAAGUUCAAGAAGAAGGUAGAAACACCGAAAAAGAACAAGAGGGGAAUAAAUGUGAUGAUGAGAGAAGAACCAGAGAUAAAGACAAGAUAAAGGAUGAGAGGAAGAAACAAGAUAAUGGCACAGAAAAGAAAGAAGACAGAGAAGAGGUGAGCGAAAACAGAGAGGGGGGAGACAGAAAGAGGAAGCAGGACACCAGUGGUGAGGAAGAGCUGAUGAUGAUGAUGACGAAGGAGCUGCAGAAGAAAAACGAGGAGAAGACGAUCGGCACUGAUGAUCUAAACCAAGGACACAGCGCCGCAUGUGAGACUUCACCCACAUCCACCCCCAGCAGCCCUGAAACCACCCAAAAACACGAAGCCUCCGACCACGGAGAUCCAGCUGUGGCGUCUUCGUCCUCACCCGUGUGCCUUCCCGAGCACACGGAGCAGAAGAGGCUGUCCUGGAUGAGGGACUGCAUCUCCUGGUCCAACCUGUCC
rnacentral:lncRNA from 1 species